AACAACAAAAACUUGACCCAACUAAACUAAACUUUGAUACCUUCGAUUAAAAAUCAAAUCUGUAUGUUAUACUUCAAAAUGAAAUUCGAGAAAUGGCAAAUAACCAAAAAACAAUCAUUUAGGAGCAAUAAAUAGAAGCAAAUCUUCAGCAAUCAAUUGAAUGAUGGUAUUAGAAUCCUGGACACCAUAAACAGCACUUCCCACCUUUUCUCUCUUUUCCUUUUCGCAAGGAAAUGAUUCACAAUGCAAAAAAUGGCAAGGGAAAAGGAAAAGAAAAACGAAGGCGUUGUAGGAGGAAGUAAAAGAACCCGAAAGAGCGAGAGAGAGAGAUGCCGAGAGAAGGCAAUGAAAAUGUUUAUCAAACGAGAAAAGAGCAGCGACGAAGAUGAGGAGGAGGCGGCUGCAAAAGACACAACAAGCUAGAGAUUACAAUGACAAUGCAUCCAUGAGAUAUUCAGAUACAAUUUGAAAUCGAAUAUAGUUUCUCAAUUGAGUUGAGUCGCAGAAUGUAAAUAAACCAACAAGACAUCAUCGAAA